GAUGGUUCCCCAAAACACAAGGAGCAAGGGAGACAGCCCUAUUUAUAGUUAUACAGCCUUUUAAAAUAUAGUCUUUCCAUCUCCUCUGAACCUGAAGAUUAUAAUAGAAAGAUAAACGAGGUAAAGACAUUUUGAAAUAAAAAGGCAUGAAGGGGUCAGCCAUUGAAAACUUCUCCUGUGUGAUUUAUAACAUCUUCCUCAUGAACUGCACUUGGCAGGCAGGAAGGGAUGCUCCAGCAGACACACAGUAUUUUCUCUACUGGCAGAAGUCAAGAGAUGAAGAGGAGAUGGAAUGUGAGCAUUACAUUAAGGAUGAAAAUUGCAGAAAUGUGGGCUGUAUCUUCCAAAACGUGAGCAUAGGGAUUGAAAAAGCUUACUUCCUGGUGAAUGGGUCUAGCAAAGACUCCCUGAUCCAGUUCUAUGAUGAGUACAUUGACCUGUAUAAAAUUGAAAAGCUCAUGCCUCCAUCAAAUAUCACAGUCAGCUGUGAUGAAAUUAAAAAUGAUUGUGUAACUCAAUGGCAGCGACCUCAAAUAAGUCAUUCUAACAAAGACAUGUGCUUCAAAUAUGAAAUUAACAUAAAGUAUAAGGAUAAUCCUAAAGGAAAACCCAUAUAUACUUCCAUACAAGAAGGGGGAAAUAGUAACAUAUUUCUAAGAUCAGAUACAAGAAAGAAGUACGUCUUGAAGAUGAGAGCAGCUGGCAGUGCCUGCUUUGUGAACCCAGCCUGGGGGGAAUGGAGUGCACCUGUUGAGUUUGGAAAUGAGGAAAUUAUGUCUUCUUCAACAUGGAUUUUACUUGGGGUAGCAGUUGCAACACCUUUAAUGACAAUCAUCACAUUUUUUUUCUGCAAAAGGACUGGCUGUUGGAAGGCAGCAUUUCCACAGAUCCCAGGACCAAAACCUGCUUUUUUUACACUGGCUGAUACAAAUUCAGAGGUUUCAUUAUCUCUUUCCAGAGAAGGAAAUAUGUUUGAUACUCUUGGACUCAUUUGUAUGAUUUUGUGGUAUAUGAUGCUAUUUCAUCCCUUGCAUGCUGACAUCCAGUGUAUGGAGUCAGAUGCACAGGAAUCACCUAUUACAAAUGUGAAUGUGGACUGGAAGAAAAUGGAGCUGUCCUGGGAGAGCAGCAGGAAUUUCUCUGAGUACAAAUGUAUCAUCAUGGGCAGAGGCAUGGAAUAUAUAGACCCAGAGGUGUUUAGUCCACUAUGCAGCUUUCCAGUGGAACUACACAUGCCUCUGCACAAAGGGAUAACCUUUAUCAUCGAAGUGCCAAACACAAACAUCUCAAAACAAUGCAGCUUUCUCCCUGGAGGCAUGAAGGGGUCAGCCAUUGAAAACUUCUCCUGUGUGAUUUAUAACAUCUUCCUCAUGAACUGCACUUGGCAGGCAGGAAGGGAUGCUCCAGCAGACACACAGUAUUUUCUCUACUGGCAGAAGUCAAGAGAUGAAGAGGAGAUGGAAUGUGAGCAUUACAUUAAGGAUGAAAAUUGCAGAAAUGUGGGCUGUAUCUUCCAAAACGUGAGCAUAGGGAUUGAAAAAGCUUACUUCCUGGUGAAUGGGUCUAGCAAAGACUCCCUGAUCCAGUUCUAUGAUGAAUACAUUGAACUGUAUAAAAUUGAAAUACUCACUGCUCCAUUAAAUGUCACUGCCCAUUGUACCAGAGAUCCAACGGGCUGCAUAAUUACAUGGCAUCCACCCCUUACAAGUCAUGUGGAAAACACAAAGUGUUUUCAGUAUGAAAUUAGCAUACAAAAUAAGGAUGAGCCCAAAGAAGAGAAAAAGCUUCCUCGUGUAAGGAAUGACAGAUAUGAAUUCCAAAAUUACAAUGAGAAAAAAAGAUAUACCCUGAAAAUCAGAGCACGUGGAAAAAACUGUCUCGUAAGCUCAAAUUGGGGGGAAUGGAGUGAACCCAUUGAGUUUGGUCAAGGAAAAGAUUACUUUAUUUUUGUGAUUUUAUUUCUGAUUGCACUUGGAACAAUCUCAAUUACACUUCUCCUGUAUUGUCUUUUCAAAAGGUACUGCAGUUUCAAGAACCUAUUUCCUCCCAUACCACAACCAAGAGACAAAUUCAAUGCUUUAACUGAUGAAGAUAUCCAGGUAUGAUUUCUUCUCAAUUCAGUCAAAUUUGUUAACUUCAAACCACCACAGGCCAAAGACUAGAAGAACUGACUUAUAAAAGUAAGUGUUAACAUUUGGUCCAAAACUAAUUUCUGUCAUGCAAGCUAUUCUGCUUUGAAACCUUUGAAAUGCUCUAUGCCAACACUAAAAGAUUGUCCUGGAGAUAUUUACUGACAUAUUUUAAGACCAGAAUUUACACUUUCACUGAGAGUAAAUUUUCUGUAAUUUCUGUGUGUACCAGCUUUGCAAGGUUGCUGUUCAUACUUUAAAAAGACCCAAAGUGGGGAUACAUUUUCCAUUAGCAUUUUAAAACACCAAUGGUCAUAAUAUAACAUGAAUAUAUAUUUCAUAAGCCUGACCUAUACCCAUGUAAAAAUCCGAUUACACUUAAUGCAAAUCAACAAGGCUGGAAAGACUUAACAGUUAAACAAACCUUCUUCUUGCUUCAACACAAGAUUUGCAAUUUCAGUGUUUUGGGUGAAUUGACCAGUACACUGUAGCAUCUGUGUGCAGCCUAUUCUGCGUGUUUAUUCAGCCUUACUUUUAAAAAGCCUUUUUAAUAGCUUGGUUUAAUGAACCUAAAAUCCAUUACUUUUUACCCUUAUUCCUUUCCUGUUUACAGUGUCUUACACCUGCACACUGUCAACAACAAGUAACUCUUCUGUCUAUCACUACAACCAGGCUUCAAACCAUUCAUGCUUCUCCAAGCCAUCCAUUUGAGCAGUGGUUUGUAUGGUGACUGCACAGUGAGGGGAUGCUUUCCCUCAGCUGGCUAAAGCAAAGACAUACUUGAAGUCAGUCAAUCAGACAGAAUAUGUAAAUCUACCAACAAAAAGUCAUACUGAGAAAAUAACUACAGUUGAAGAAUGAGCCAACUUUCCAAAACCACACCUGAUUCCCCAACGUGAAAGAAAAUUAUGGAUCCUGCUGACAAGAACUUCAAACCAGCCUAUAAAGGAAUAUAAUCACCUAUAGAACCGUUUGUCCCCUUAAAAUCCACUUAAAAUGGAGUACAUGAAAAAAAGGAGCAAAAUCACUGAAAUUUGUUCUUUCCCCUUUGUUCAAACCCACAAUGCCUGGCAACUAAGCUUUUCUGCAAGCACCUACUUAGAAGUGCUUAAACCUUGCUAAGAGGUUCUUCACAAUGUGAGACAAGCCCUCUCAGCCAGAAUAAAGCUGAUACUUCUUGACGUCAUUGCUAUGAAGCUUCUUUCCUCAUUAUCAUGAUUUCCUGUGGGUUGACAACCUUGCUGUAAAAUGCCACAGUAGUUUUACUGUAAUUUCUUUAUGCCCAGUUAUUUUUAAAGCCCAAACCAGCUAUUUAGAAUGUGUUUAAAUUUGCUCUUUGAUCUUCCAAGCAGUAACACCAAGCUAUCCCAAUAUGUGCAAUUAACUUUAUGCAAGACAAGAACAGAAAAUAAAAUUAUUCUUGUCAAAUAUAAUUAUUAAUACUGGCCUUAGUCAGCCAUUUCAUGAGUUCAGUAUUGCAACUGUAAGUAGACCUCUGCAACACUGUGAUCCUGUGCACUUUUAGUAUGUAUCUAAGUAACACAAAAAGCACUGAAAGCCUUCAAAAAAUCUAAUAGUUGUGAGAAUAUAAAAUAAGAUUUAAUAUUUAAGAGCUAGAUGUUACAUGUAAAAAUUCCUCACAAAUGUAUUUUAGUUUCUCCCUUCAAAGGGUGCAAAUGCUAUUUCCAAUGCCUUUUAAAAAUAAUACAGGCUUUAGAUGCCAGUAUUUUCUUUUACAAAUGCUGGAUGGUUUCCUGUUCAUACUGUUCUAAAUGAAUGAAUUUCAGUGUUUCAAUAAGACAGAGAACAAAUGUUUUUUUAAAAGUCUCAUUUAUUGUUUGCCUCUUACAUCCCUAAACUGCAUCACACAUUGGAAAUUGCUGCUGCAUGACUAAGGGAAGCCAUAUAUUAAAAAAAAAAAACCAAACCUGAACACCACAAAUUAGUUCAUAUUGAAUGUAUAGCAUAGGGAAACUGCAAUUUGAUUUAAACUCUGUGUCCCGGUUUAGGGAAAAAUUGGGAGCAUUUGUUUCUUUUCCUAUUUCUUUUCAUUAAACCUUGUUCUGAAGGGGAGAUUGGGUGUGAAAGUUGCUGUCAGGGGCUGCUGAAGUAACUACCACAUUUGGUUUCUCUCUAUGCUUGGGCUCUCUCACAGGGAGGUAUCCCAUCAUUAUCUCUACCCUUGCAAGGCACUGAUACAGAAAGAAACCUGAUUAAUGUUUUUAUAUAGACAAAAUGUCUUCCCCUGCUCCCCCAAUAAUUGACUGGCAGGGUUAACACCAAAUGACCUGCCUGCACCACAGGGAGCUGCUACUGCCACACAGGAUGUAAGAACCACUUGUAGUAGGUAGAUGAAGUUUGCCCGUAGCCUGUGCACGAAGCAGCUGUGUCAUGUCCUUACAUUCACAUACAGAUGAAAGCAGUGCUUGUGCAACAGUGAAAGGAAAAAGGUAAAGUACACUCAGGAGGAAGGUAAUAACCAGCCAAGCAGGAAAUUUAAAUACUUCAUCUUGAAUAGCAAUCUCAGAAGGCACACAGAAGAACUCAAGACAGCUCAGUCAGCCUUCAAUGAGUCACACAAUGACACACUUUUCCUUUCUCACGAUAUAGGAAGAACUCUUAAAACAUGUAGUUCAACACCUUCUUUUCCUCUACUGGUCCCUCUACAAUGUCUUUGCAGAUUACAAAGUACAAAAGAUUAUAUACAUAUGAAGAACGGCACAUAGGUAUUACAUUAUCUCAAAGAGCAGUUAUGAGAAAUUACUCAAUCUGGUCUUCUGACCAUCCCUAAACAUCAAUCAGUUAAUACUGAAGGCUGACCUACUUUGAUCUGUAUAUUUACAGCUACAUAGAAACACACACAUUCCCUCCCCACAACCCUUCAACUUCACCUAUUAGACUGCAACUCAUUUCAGAUUAAAUUCAACCUUUCACAGAGCUACUGACCACUGCUAGAGAUGAGGCCAAACAGUAUCCUGAAUGGCACUAUCAGCAUUUCCAAUCAGCAGCAACAAUGCAAUACAUAGGUCACUCAGAAGUUGAAGGCAUUUACUGGGUUCCUGGGUUUUUGCAUGAAUGCCAUGAUGCUUUCCAUACUGAUUUGACAAAAAAAUUUUUUAUUUUAGGCUGUUUUACCAAGGGCAAGAGCAUUACUUUUGAACAGUCCCUGGUACUUUGGGUUUUCCUAGCACUACUACUGAACCCCCACCCCAUAAUUUUAAAUCACAGAAGUUGUAAAUCAAUUUCUAAGAAUCAUGCAAAAAGCCACCUGCAGCAGCCCAUCACACACUAUCAGGCACAAGGAAUGGGAGUGGUUUCUAUUAGUAUAACCCAUGCUUCCCCACCCCUCCUUCCUAAAGAUCUCACAUUAAAUUUUUUUUUUAAAAGCUUAUUUGUGUAAAGGUAUCACAGGACCCAUUAUCUGAAACAAGUUUUCAAAUACAAGAGGCUUUUCCAAAGCUUUUAUAUAAUAAUUU